GACGAACGCUGGCGGCGUGCUUAACACAUGCAAGUCGAACGGAAAGGCCCUGCUUUUGUGGGGUGCUCGAGUGGCGAACGGGUGAGUAACACGUGAGUAACCUGCCCUUGACUUUGGGAUAACUUCAGGAAACUGGGGCUAAUACCGGAUAGGAGCUCCUGCUGCAUGGUGGGGGUUGGAAAGUUUCGGCGGUUGGGGAUGGACUCGCGGCUUAUCAGCUUGUUGGUGGGGUAGUGGCUUACCAAGGCUUUGACGGGUAGCCGGCCUGAGAGGGUGACCGGCCACAUUGGGACUGAGGUACGGCCCAGACGCCAACGGGAGGCAGCAGUGGGGAAUAUUGCACAGUGGGCGGAAGCCUGAUGCAGCAACGCCGCGUGCGGGAUGACGGCCUUCGGGUUGUAAACAGCUUUCGCCUGUGACGAAGCGUGAGUGACGGUAAUGGGUAAAGAAGCACCGGCUAACUACGUG
rnacentral:rRNA from 1 species